UUUUAGUUGUGUAAAGAAAUGUGAAGUCAUUUUUAAAAAGUUGAACAAUUUUAUCUCUUAUUUUCCUUCUAAGGACUUAGAAUUUUUUCCCCCUUCUUUCAGGGCAGAAAAAAACAAACAUUUCCCCUUUCAACUCUUUUUGAUUUAUUUGGACCUUAAAAAUGUUAAAGCAGGCGUGAGUCCAGCCCCCGCCAGCUCGCGAGCCACCCGCGAGCUCACACCGGCUUCUCUCUUCAUCCUCUGCUUGCCGGCCGCCAUCGCCGUCGUGCUGGGCGCCGCUCUCCGCCGCUGCGCUGUGGCUGCAGCCGCCCGGGCCCGACCCCCGGCCCCGCCGUGGCUAUCCAGUUAGUUCGCUAUUAUUCCCAUGGGUCAAAUGAGACAGAUGAGGAGUUUGAUGCUCGCUGGGUAACAUACCUCAACAAGCCAGAUAUAGAUGCCUGGGAAUUGCGUAAAGGACAAAGCAGGACCUCAUAAGGAAAUCUACCCCUAUGUCAUCCAGGAACUUAGACCAGCUUUACAUGAACUGGGAAUCUCCACUCCAGAGGAACUGGGCCUUGACAAAGUGUAAACCCCAUGGAUUGGCUUCCCAAGGAUUUAUUGAUAUUGCUACUUGAGUGUAAACAGUCACCUGGAAAUAAGAUAAUAUGUUAAUAUUAUCUUAUUUGAACAAGUUUUCCUUUAUUGAGUACCAAGCCAUGUAAUGGUAACCUGUACUUUAAUAAAAGGGAAAUGAGUUUGAAAUUAAAAAAAA